rnacentral:rRNA from 1 species
CAGCCGCCACGGUAAUACGUAGGUCCCGAGCGUUGUCCGGAUUUAUUGGGCGUAAAGCGAGCGCAGGCGGUUAGAUAAGUCUGAAGUUAAAGGCUGUGGCUUAACCAUAGUACGCUUUGGAAACUGUUUAACUUGAGUGCAAGAGGGGAGAGUGGAAUUCCAUGUGUAGCGGUGAAAUGCGUAGAUAUAUGGAGGAACACCGGUGGCGAAAGCGGCUCUCUGGCUUGUAACUGACGCUGAGGCUCGAAAGCGUGGGGAGCAAACAGGAUUAGAUACCCGGGUAGUCCCUGUCUCUUAUACA